rnacentral:misc_RNA from 1 species
GGAUGAAGAACGCAGCGAAAUGCGAUAAGUAAUGUGAAUUGCAGAAUUCAGUGAAUCAUCGAAUCUUUGAACGCACAUUGCGCCCCCUGGUAUUCCGGGGGGCAUGCCUGUCCGAGCGUCAUUUCAACCCUCAAGCUCUGCUUGGUCUUGGGCUCUCUUGCUAGCGAUGGCAGGCCCUAAAAUUAGUGGCGGAGCCGCUGUGGUCCUGAGCGUAGUAACAUACCCUCGCUACUGGUCCUCGGCGUGCCUCUUGCCAACCCCCCCAAACUUUCUAUGGUUGACCUCGGAUCAGGUAGGGAUACCCGCUGAACUUAAGCAUAUCAAUAAGCGGAGGA